rnacentral:rRNA from 1 species
AGUGGACGCUGGCGGUAGGCCUAACACAUGCAAGUCGAACGGCAGCACAGUAAGAGCUUGCUCUUACGGGUGGCGAGUGGCGGACGGGUGAGGAAUACAUCGGAAUCUACUUUUUCGUGGGGGAUAACGUAGGGAAACUUACGCUAAUACCGCAUACGACCUACGGGUGAAAGCAGGGGAUCUUCGGACCUUGCGCGAUUGAAUGAGCCGAUGUCGGAUUAGCUAGUUGGCGGGGUAAAGGCCCACCAAGGCGACGAUCCGUAGCUGGUCUGAGAGGAUGAUCAGCCACACUGGAACUGAGACACGGUCCAGACUCCUACGGGAGGCAGCAGUGGGGAAUAUUGGACAAUGGGCGCAAGCCUGAUCCAGCCAUACCGCGCGGGUGAAGAAGGCCUUCGGGUUGUAAAGCCCUUUUGUUGGGAAAGAAAAGCAGCAGGUUAAUACCCCGCUGUUCUGACGGUACCCAAAGAAUAAGCACCGGCUAACUUCGUG